rnacentral:RNase_P_RNA from 1 species
UUGGCGGGUCGGGCGGUCGCCCAGCACUAUUUGGCAUAAAGAUAAUGGGCUGGUGACAAAAUAAAAUUAAAGUAACAAGAUACUAAUACCAAAUAGUGCCGGGAGGAAAGUCCGAGCUUCACAGGGUAAGACGCUUCCUAAUCGGAAGGCUUUUCUGCGGCAACGCAGAUGAGACGGAAAGUGCCACAGAAACUAUACCGCCCAGCACUUAUGUUCUAACAAAAAAUUGGCAGAGCAAGGGUUUCAGAAAGAGUAUGAUACAUCAAUCCAUAAGUGCUGGGCAAGGGUGAAAUAGUGCGGUAAGAGCGCACUAUCCUUUUUGGUAACAAAGAGGAUGGGUAAACCCCGUCUGAAGCAAGACCACGCAAAGGAGCAGGACUGACCCGGUCCGAAACGGCAGUAUCUGGUGAUUCGGGAUUAGGGACUGGUGAAAACACCAGGCACCAGAAACCAGUCACUAGAAACCGCCUUUUAACUCCUGGGUAGGUCGCUUGACCCAGCACCUAAAAGUGCUGGGCAGAUUAAUGACCGUCAUCCAGCACCUAUGCUCAAUGAUGUAAUGGUAAAGAGCAUAAGAGUUCAGAUAGAAUUAAGAACACUCGGUUCAUAGGUGCUGGAUACAGAACUCGGCUUACAGACCCGCCUUUUAG